GGGCCCGCAGCUCAGUUGGCUGGAGCGUUAGCUGUACUAAAACCUUACCCUUGAUGAUGUGGGUUCAAAUCCCACCGAGGCCG
rnacentral:tRNA from 1 species